GAUGAACGCUGGCGGCGUGCUUAACACAUGCAAGUCGAACGGUGAAGGCGGAGCUUGCUCUGCUGGAUCAGUGGCGAACGGGUGAGUAACACGUGAGCAAUCUGCCCCUGACUCUGGGAUAAGCGCUGGAAACGGCGUCUAAUACUGGAUACGAGCUGCGAAGGCAUCUUCAGCAGCUGGAAAGAACUUCGGUCAGGGAUGAGCUCGCGGCCUAUCAGCUUGUUGGUGAGGUAACGGCUCACCAAGGCGUCGACGGGUAGCCGGCCUGAGAGGGUGACCGGCCACACUGGGACUGAGACACGGCCCAGACUCCUACGGGAGGCAGCAGUGGGGAAUAUUGCACAAUGGGCGAAAGCCUGAUGCAGCAACGCCGCGUGAGGGACGACGGCCUUCGGGUUGUAAACUUCUUUUAUCAGGGAAGAAGCGAAAGUGACGGUACCUGCAGAAAAAGCGCCGGCUAACUACGUG
rnacentral:rRNA from 1 species